rnacentral:rRNA from 1 species
AAUAUUGCACAAUGGGCGCAAGCCUGAUGCAGCAACGCCGCGUGAGGGAUGACGGCCUUCGGGUUGUAAACCUCUUUUAGCAGGGAAGAAGCGAAAGUGACGGUACCUGCAGAAAAAGCACCGGCUAACUACGUGCCAGCAGCCGCGGUAAUACGUAGGGUGCAAGCGUUGUCCGGAAUUAUUGGGCGUAAAGAGCUCGUAGGCGGCUUGUCGCGUCUGCUGUGAAAUCCCGGAGCUCAACUCCGGGCCUGCAGUGGGUACGGGCAGGCUAGAGUGCGGUAGGGGAGAUUGGAAUUCCUGGUGUAGCGGUGGAAUGCGCAGAUAUCAGGAGGAACACCGAUGGCGAAGGCAGAUCUCUGGGCCGCUACUGACGCUCAGACACGAAAGCGUGGGUAGCGAACA